CUAAAAUUCAUCACUUUGUUGUUUUAAGUCAUAGAAUUUGUAUUAUGUCCAUUCACAGUGUACUUUUGUUCUAUGCUUAUUUUUUUAAGUCUGAAAGAAAAUCAAGAUAGAAGAAUUAAAAGGGUUGAAGCAGUUUUGAUGUUAUUUGGACUUGCAUUCAUCUUUCACUUAGAACAUAUCUGUAUUUUUACAGACUCUGUGUGCUGAUGACCACACCUAUGCCAAAGGAGCCGAGGCACAAAUUGAGGUAGAAAGGAUACCGCCAAUCUUACAGAUGCGGAGGAGAGGAGAGUACCCUCGCUACUACUGUGAUGGCAUACCUGGACUUUGCCCUGAGUGCCAACAUUGAAUUCAAAGAAAAUAUAAGUUGCUUUCCACAAUCUGUCACAUAUUGUUAGUUUUUUUGUGACAUGCCAUUUGAAAUCGUUUCUGAUAAAGAAUAUUUACCUUUUGACUUGUGCAGUCCUCCUUUUUCAUAAUGUGUUCUUUCAAUAUUAUUUACAUUUCUGAAAGUUCCUUUUGUUGUAGCUCAGUUGAUUUACAUCAUUUAGUUUUCAUAGAAAUGGUGUCGUUUCCACAAAGUUACAUUGUGGCUGUAAUUUGUUGGAGAGACAGUAGAACCAAUAAAGUAGUUGUAAAUAUAUUGUAA